UCUCCGGCUACCUCCGAGACUUUCCCAUACGAGAACUAUGGAUUCAAUGAAGCCAGUGGGUUUAUGACUUCAUUUCUUAAUCAGGGCUUGGAACGUCUCAUGUUCCUUUAUGAGGAGGCGUGUGGGCUUAACAAGAUGCUGGAGGCC